UACGUAGGGUGCAAGCGUUAAUCGGAAUUACUGGGCGUAAAGCGUGCGCAGGCGGCGGUAUAAGACUGAUGUGAAAUCCCCGAGCUCAACUUGGGAACUGCAUUGGUGACUGUAUCGCUGGAGUACGGCAGAGGGGGAUGGAAUUCCGCGUGUAGCAGUGAAAUGCGUAGAUAUGCGGAGGAACACCAAUGGCGAAGGCAAUCCCCUGGGCCUGUACUGACGCUCAUGCACGAAAGCGUGGGGAGCAAAC
rnacentral:rRNA from 1 species